rnacentral:tRNA from 1 species
GGGUGUAGUUUAGUGGUAAAACUACAGCCUUCCAAGCUGUUGUCGCGAGUUCGAUUCUCGUCACCCGCU